GACGAACGCUGGCGGCAUGCCUAAUACAUGCAAGUCGAGCGAAUGGAUUGAGAGCUUGCUCUCAAGAAGUUAGCGGCGGACGGGUGAGUAACACGUGGGUAACCUGCCCAUAAGACUGGGAUAACUCCGGGAAACCGGGGCUAAUACCGGAUAACAUUUUGAACUGCAUGGUUCGAAAUUGAAAGGCGGCUUCGGCUGUCACUUAUGGAUGGACCCGCGUCGCAUUAGCUAAUUGGUGAGGUAACGGCUCACCAAGGCAACGAUGCGUAGCCGACCUGGGAGGGUGAUCGGCCACACGGGGACUGAGACACGGCCCAGACUCCUACGGGAGGCAGCAGUAGGGAAUCUUCCGCAAUGGACGAAAGUCUGACGGAGCAACGCCGCGUGAGUGAUGAAGGCUUUCGGGUCGUAAAACUCUGUUGUUAGGGAAGAACAAGUGCUAGUUGAAUAAGCUGGCACCUUGACGGUACCUAACCAGAAAGCCACGGCUAACUACGUGCCAGCAGCCGCCGUAA
rnacentral:rRNA from 1 species